GCGGUCAUAGCUCAGCUGGUAGAGCGCAACCUUGCCAAGGUUGAGGUCGCGAGUUCGAACCUCGUUGACCGCUCAA
rnacentral:tRNA from 2 species